GGGGGGCAGCAGUGGGGAAUAUUGCACAAUGGGCGCAAGCCUGAUGCAGCCAUGCCGCGUGUAUGAAGAAGGCCUUCGGGUUGUAAAGUACUUUCAGCGGGGAGGAAGGGAGUAAAGUUAAUACCUUUGCUCAUUGACGUUACCCGCAGAAGAAGCACCGGCUAACUCCGUGCCAGCAGCCGCGGUAAUACGGAGGGUGCAAGCGUUAAUCGGAAUUACUGGGCGUAAAGCGCACGCAGGCGGUUUGUUAAGUCAGAUGUGAAAUCCCCGGGCUCAACCUGGGAACUGCAUCUGAUACUGGCAAGCUUGAGUCUCGUAGAGGGGGGUAGAAUUCCAGGUGUAGCGGUGAAAUGCGUAGAGAUCUGGAGGAAUACCGGUGGCGAAGGCGGCCCCCUGGACGAAGACUGACGCUCAGGUGCGAAAGCGUGGGGAGCAAACAGGAUUAGAUACCCUG
rnacentral:rRNA from 1 species